GCCGCUGUUCCCAAAUGUAAUAGUGUAAAUCUAAACGACAUGACGACCUAGGGCAGUGGUUCCCAACCAGGGGUGGUAAUUGAGUAGACACAUAAGACCAAAUGCACAUGAGGGGGUACUUCAGGGGUACUCCGGGCAAAGCAAAAUUCAGUUGGUGGUACAGUAACUAAAAAAAGGUUAUGAACCACUGACCUAGGGGAUCUACAGUAGCUAGCUAACGUUAGGGGUAAGCAGCUAAGUUUCCUGUCACAUGAGUAGGAGGAAGACUUCGCCGUACAGUUCACAACAAAGCUAGCUAAGUAACGUUAAAGUUGGUAUUGAUGUUUUCUCGAUAUGAUCUAUUCUAUUAGCUAGGCCUAGUUCUAAUUUAUCUUAGUUUAGUUUGUAAACUAGUUAUGUGUGGGAAAGUUAGUACCAUGAGAGGCUUUUCACUGCAAUGUUUAGCUAGUUAAUAAAUCCACAACUGUGUAUGGAUAUUAUAGUCACCACAGUUAGUGUAAUAACAGGUAACUAGCUAGUAUACUGAAAAUAGUAUAAGGGACUAGUGCCAUCAACUCUCAACUGUCACAUUAUUCUGUACAUGCCUGUCUCCAGUGUUUUAGGGUGCUUGGCCAUGACUCGGGGUAGGAGGACUAAGUUGGAGUCCUGGAUAGAGCAGGUCAUCCUGAGUUAUGGCACAGAGCCAAAGGAGGAGAAGAAGAACACUGAUAAAAGCGCAUGUUGUUGGGGUAAUGAGGCAUCUAGUACAUACACUUCAUGCAAGAGGGAGGAUACUUUCAAUGUCCCUGUGUCUCACCUACACAUCCCAGAUGAUCUGAGCCAGAAACUACACACACCCUCAGAAGACAGUGAAACGCGGAGUGGACUGGUCCCUCCAUCUGAAGACAGACCGACAGACCCACCAGAGACCGAUCAACCAAUCGUUGCUGCUGACAUUAGGCAGACUGACAGGCCAGUGCCUCUGGAGAGAAGACAUCCUGCUCAUGGUCCCACACUUUCCCAGGAGAGUAUGGAUGGUGAGGUGGUGUCAAGGGUGACCGGAGGAGCAGUGGCGAGCCCAUGGGACAUGUUUGCUCCAGCAGCUGAGCUGCUCAGGACCUCCUCUGCAUCUGACGAAUCCAUCACCUCGGAGCCCCUCCCCCUCCAGAAGAGCCCGUCUCUGCUCGACCCCACUCCACAACCAGUCACCCUUGCAACGUUUCCCCUGGCAACCAACACCCAGGUGCCAACCCUGACCCAUGGGGCCACCCAAAGGUCAGGCGAGCACUCCCUUCCUCCUUAUCAAAAACCAGGCCCCUCCCACAGCCUACUCCCCUCCAGUGGCGGCUCCUCCACUGUGAGUCUAUCUACAAAGCACCAACGCUCUGGCAUGAAGCUCCACCACAGUGGCUUAACCACAACACUUCAACUUCCAGUCACGGAGCAGCAGGAUCAGGUGGAGGAGGAUGUUGUGAAGAGGUGUAGGAAGGUUAAGAAGAAGAGUUCUGUGCAGACCCCCGAGGAUAAUGAUAUCACCUGGGAGGAGGAAAAUAUGCAGAAGAACUGCAGCCUGCCCUCCUGGAUGUUUGAAACUCAGGAGGUUUCCAGGAUUGGGGAGGGAAGCAGCUGCAAACGGCAGUUGCAGCAAUAGCCCCCUGGAGGUCCUCCAAU
rnacentral:lncRNA from 13 species